rnacentral:rRNA from 1 species
GUGGGGAAUCUUCCGCAAUGGACGAAAGUCUGACGGAGCAACGCCGCGUGAGUGAUGAAGGUUUUCGGACUGUAAAGCUCUGUUGUUUAGGACGAAAGUGCCUGUUGCGAACAGUUAAAGGUAUUGACGGUACUAAACGAGGAAGCCACGGAUAACUACGUGCCAGCAGCCGCGGUAAUACGUAGGUGGCAAGCGUUGUCCGGAAUUAUUGGGCGUAAAGAGCAUGUAGGCGGAGAUUUAAGUCUGUUGUGAAAAUGCGGGGCUCAACCCCGUAUUGCGAUGGAAACUGAAUUUCUUGAGUGCAGGAGAGGAAAGGGGAAUUCCCAGUGUAGCGGUGAAAUGCGUAGAUAUUGGGAGGAACACCAGUGGCGAAGGCGCCUUUCUGGACUGUGUCUGACGCUGAGAUGCGAAAGCCAGGGUAGCGAACGGGAUUAGAAACCCCGGUAGUCC